rnacentral:tRNA from 1 species
AUCUUUCUAGUAUAGCAUUAGUAUUCGUGACUUCCAAUCACUCGGUCUUGGUGAAAAUCCAAGGAAAGAUA